GGAUUUCACAAACGUGGCAAGGUGUAUGAGCCUCCAAAAUAGUACCUCUAACCAAAAAUGCAUGCCUAAAACCUCAUUUCGACGCUCUCCAUCGACGGCUUUUCUAUGUAGCAUGUGUGUUCGUUUACUCAUCACUGGUAGGCUUAAAGUUGGGUAGUUUAGCUAUUUUUUCGAUAGUUGUAAGAGCUUUACAAUGUAAGCCAUGGAAUAAGCAUCUAAAGGAGAUAGCAAAAAGAAUUCUAAUGAUGUUACUAAGCAGUGAGAAAGUCAGCCCAAUAAAAGUAUAAUAACAUGGAAUCAAUAAUAAUGGUAUGAGAUAGUCAUAACCAAGUAUUUUUUAUGAUUUGGAAGUUAAAAAUGAAAAAAUAGGAUGUUGUCAAAGCUGUUGAUGAAGUGCGAAACGUCCAUGAAAAAGCGGUUGUUCUAUUUUUGUUUCCAAAAAAGUCUGAAAUCUGAAAUUAAUUUGUAAUAUUAUUAGAAUUAAUUUUGUUAUACAUUUCUGAUACUUAUGUCAUAAUAAUUUACCUGUAGUAAUAAAUCCAUUAUAUUAUUUUA